rnacentral:rRNA from 1 species
UACGGAGGGUGCAAGCGUUAUCCGGAUUUACUGGGUUUAAAGGGUGCGUAGGUGGGCAGGUAAGUCAGUGGUGAAAUCUUUGGGCUUAACCCGAAAACUGCCAUUGAUACUAUUUGUCUUGAAUAUUGUGGAGGUCAGCGGAAUAUGUCAUGUAGCGGUGAAAUGCUUAGAUAUGACAUAGAACACCAAUUGCGAAGGCAGCUGGCUACACAUAUAAUGACACUGAUGCACGAAAGCGUGGGGAUCAAACAGG